AGGUGGGGCCUCCGGUCUCCACUUCACCUACUGCAGGUUUGGUCAUUUUCACGGCCCCUACGGCAGGCAGUCUGCAGGGUGCCCGGCUGCCUUACUCUGAGGCCUCUGACUCCUGCAGGAGGAACUUCUCUGACAUCUCGGUGAUUUUGAUCACGGGGCCCCUGCUUUUCUUCUUCUUCCGGAAGGGGGCUCUGACCAGGUGGAGCAUGCUUAUGAUCAGCCCAUUUUCCAGAUGGGAAAACUGAGACUUUAAGAAGCUGGGCCAACGUCUCAAUUUAUGGGGAAACUGAGGCAUGGAGCGACAAAAGAGCCUGCUGAGUUCACAUAACUACUGAGCCAGGAUUCAAAUCCGAGCUGCUCUAACGACUGUGUUGUUUUAAUCAUUUUCCCUCGCUCACAGAGUUGUGAGGAUUAAAUGAGAUUAUGCCUGGAAGGCACGUGCACGGCGCGGGGAUACAGAAGGCCCUCAAUAAACAGUAGCUAGGGAUAUUUUCGUAACUUGUGAAGGCGAUGGAGCCAGGGGGAAGUGUCCAGGGCAGAGCAGCCGACUCCCCGAGGCAUCAUGGGGGCAGGCGCCAAAGCAGCUUAGCCUCAGCAGGUUCCCUUUGCAGCAAUCUGCAUCCCAGGAGGUGUGCCUGGCUGCAGGGGGUUGUCCUCAGGUUUAGCUAAUCUCCCUGGAACCUGAAUCUAUGGGUGGGGCAGGCGGCGUUCUGGCUGGCUGCAACCGGGCCCCAAAUACACUCCGGGUCUGGAAUGCACUCUGGUAGCUGAGGGGGAUGUGAGCCUCUGCCACCGAGGCUUCUCUCACCAGCCUGUGCCCUGGAGGGGAGGGGGACUGCCCAGAAGGAUGCGGUGUGUACAUGGGCCCAAGCAGGCCUUUGGCUCCUGGGAA